AGUGAAAAACCCUCUCACGUCGCACUCCCCAGGGGCGGCUCGGGAGGCGACGACCCCGCCGCCCCUCUCCCCCACCCCCACCCCCUUCUCCGCCUCGCCGUCGCCCGAGCGGCCGCUGGCGAAGCCACGCAGCCACAAGGACGGCGGCGGCGGGGCGCUCCUCGUCUCCUCGCGCUCGAGCAGCCUGGGGAGCCGCCCGGAGUGGCGACGGCGGUGUCCGCCAGAUCCGCGCCGUUCCGGCCGGAUCUGGCGGGAUGGGCUGGCGGUGGGGAAGCCGUCGGCGGCGGGGACGGGCGACGGUGGCGGUCGAGGCGAGUUGCACCGGGUGGCGUCAGCCGGCGUUGGUGGAGAGGAAGACGGCCGGAUCUGGCUCCUUGCCCAGAUCCGGCGCGUCCUCAGGUGGGAACGGGGUGGUUGGAGUCCAGUCGUCGUGCAGGUGGUGUGAAUAUCGCAGGUAUCCUCGGUGUGCAGGUGCCAUUUGGUGGCUCCCGUCGUGGAUGCUAUGGUUGAUGGGUGCUCC
rnacentral:lncRNA from 1 species